CAGUCGCCGCGGUAAUACGGAGGGCGCGAGCGUUACCCGGAUUUACUGGGCGUAAAGGGCGUGUAGGCGGCCUGGGGCGUCCCAUGUGAAAGGCCACGGCUCAACCGUGGAGGAGCGUGGGAUACGCUCAGGCUAGAGGGUGGGAGAGGGUGGUGGAAUUCCCGGAGUAGCGGUGAAAUGCGCAGAUACCGGGAGGAACGCCGAUGGCGAAGGCAGCCACCUGGUCCACUUCUGACGCUGAGGCGCGAAAGCAUGGGGAGCAAACCGGAUUAGAUACCCCCGUAGUCCCUGUCUCUUAUAC
rnacentral:rRNA from 1 species